UACGAAGGGGGCGAGCGUUGUUCGGAAUCACUGGGCGUAAAGGGCGCGUAGGCGGCCCUCCUUGUCGCGUGUGAAAGCCCCGGGCUCAACCUGGGAACGGCGCGCGAGACGGGGGGGCUGGAGUUCGGGAGAGGAGCGUGGAAUUCCCAGUGUAGAGGUGAAAUUCGUAGAUAUUGGGAAGAACACCGGUGGCGAAGGCAGCCCCCUGGGUCAAAACUGACGCUCAUGCACGAAAGCGUGGGGAGCAAACAGG
rnacentral:rRNA from 1 species